UACUGAAUUGUUAAGAAAGUAACAGGUGGCA
rnacentral:piRNA from 1 species